AUUUCACGUUGUAAAUUGGAUUGAUGUACUGAAUACUGAUAUCAUAUUAUUAUGUUUACCUGUCUGUGAUUGAAUGCAACCCAAUAACAUAAAUACACAAGACUUGUUUGGAGAAUACAUUGCAUAUGGUUCCAGAAUAUGCCCAAAAACAACUUCUGCAGUAUGCACUUAUCACUAAUCCAGCUUUAAAUGCAUUUAUACAUUAACAAAUCAAACUGUACGUUAAAUGAGUUUGAUUUACUGAUGAAUACUUAUGUGAUAGUAUAAAUGUAGGAAAAAUAUUUGGCGAAAAAAUCAGGCAACAAGUAUAGGCGAACAUAUACAAUUAUAAAUCAUAAUCUCUCUUCACUUAUUGGUUGAAAAUGCGAUAUUAUUG